GUCUCUGGAUAUAGACCCGAAACCAGGUGAUCUAGCCAUGGGCAGGUUGAAGGUUGAGUAACAUCAACUGGAGGACCGAACCGACUAAUGUUGAAAAAUUAGCGGAUGACUUGUGGCUAGGGGUGAAAGGCCAAUCAAACCUGGAGAUAGCUGGUUCUCCCCGAAAGCUAUUUAGGUAGCGCCUCGGACGAAUACUACUGGGGGUAGAGCACUGUUAAGGCUAGGGGGUCAUCCCGACUUACCAACCCUUUGCAAACUCCGAAUACCA
rnacentral:rRNA from 1 species